rnacentral:ncRNA from 1 species
CGAAAGAUGAAAAGCACUUUGAAAAGAGGGUUAAACAGUACGUGAAAUUGUUGAAAGGGAAGCGCUCGUGACCAGACGUGGGCCUCGAAGGAGCCUGAGAAACGGCUACUACAUCCAAGGAAGGCAGCAGGCGCGCAAAUUACCCAAUCCCGAUCCGGGGAGGUAGUGACAAUAAAUACUGAUACAGGGCUCUUUUGGGUCUUAAGUUUCCCUCAGGAUAGCAGUGUUGAUCUCAGUUUUAUGAGGUAAAGCGAAUGAUUAGGGACCCGGGGGCGCUAUAUAGCCUUCAUCCAUUCUCAAACUUUAAAUAUGUAAGAAGCCCUUGUUACUUCCUUUUUUUUUUGCCAUACAAAUUGAGCGUUUUCGAGAAAAAAAAAAAACGCGUGUUCGGGUGUCAAACCCCUACGCGGAAUGAAAGUGAACGCAGGUGAGAGCCCUCUGGGCGCAUCAUCGACCGAUCCUGAUGUUCUCGGAUGGAUUUGAGGAAGAGCAUACGGGGCCGGACCCGAAAGAAGGUGAACUAUGCCUGUAUAGGGUGAAGCCAGAGGAAACUCUGGUGGAGGCUCGCAGCGGUUCUGACGUGCAAAUCGAUCGUCAAAUCGUGACAUUGGGUAAGUCACGUGGGUAUCUUUACCCAAUCCCGAUCCGGGGAGGUAGUGACAAUAAAUACUGAUACAGGGCUCUUUUGGGUCUUAAGUUUCCCUCAGGAUAGCAGUGUUGAUCUCAGUUUUAUGAGGUAAAGCGAAUGAUUAGGGACCCGGGGGCGCUAUAUAGCCUUCAUCCAUUCUCAAACUUUAAAUAUGUAAGAAGCCCUUGUUACUUGACUGAACGUGGGCAUUCGAAUGUAUCAGCACUAGGGGGCCAUUUUUGGUAAGCAGAACUGGCGAUGCGGGAUGAACCGAACGCGAGGUUAAGGUGCCAGAGUAGACGCUCAUCCUCCCUCUCCCCCCUCUCCCCCUCCCCCUCUACCGCCCUCUUCUGCCCUUAAGAGAUAAAUAGCUCUAAUACGGCCUAAAUGCCCUCUAAUGCUUUUAUUUUAUACUCCUUAAGGUUUAGCACCUCCUAGGUCACCCUAAGAGUAAUACUCCCCCCUACUAUUAUUACUGUGGAUGGCGCUCAAGCGUCUCACCCAUACCUCGCCCUCAGGGUAGAAACGAAGCCCUGAGGAGUAGGCGGACGUGGGGGUCAGUGACGAAGCCUAGGGCGUGAGCCCGGGUCGAACGGCCUCUAGUGCAGAUCUUGGUGGUAGUAGCAAAUACUUCAAUGAGAACUUGAAGGACCGAAGUGGGGAAAGGGUCCAUGUGAACAGCGGUUGGACGUGGGUUAGCCGAUCCUAAGCCAUAGGGAAGUUCCGUUUCAAAGGCGCACUCGUGCUGGAAUAAUGAAAUAGGACGUGCGGUUCUAUUUUGUUGGUUUCUAGGACCGCCGUAAUGAUUAAUAGGGACAGUCGGGGGCAUCAGUAUUCAAUUGUCAGAGGUGAAAUUCUUGGAUUUAUUGAAGACUAACUACUGCGAAAGCAUUUGCCAAGGAUGUUUUCAUUAAUCAGGAACGAAAGUUAGGGGAUCGAAGACGAUCAGAUACCGUCGUAGUCUUAACCAUAAACUAUGCCGACUCCUUGAAAAUCCGCGGGAGGGAAUAAUUCUCACGCCAGGUCGUACUCAUAACCGCAGCAGGUCUCCAAGGUGAACAGCCUCUGGUUGAUAGAACAAUG